GGGCCAUAAGCUUUGGAGGCGAAGCACUCGACUCUUAAUCGAGAGAGCACAGUUCGAGUCUGUGAUGGCUCA
rnacentral:tRNA from 1 species